UGGGGAAUAUUGGACAAUGGGCGAAAGCCUGAUCCAGCCAUGCCGCGUGAGUGAUGAAGGCCCUAGGGUUGUAAAGCUCUUUCAACGGUGAAGAUAAUGACUGUAACCGUAGAAGAAGCCCCGGCUAACUUCGUGCCAGCAGCCGCGGUAAUACGAAGGGGGCUAGCGUUGUUCGGAAUUACUGGGCGUAAAGCGCACGUAGGCGGAUUGUUUAGUUAGGGGUGAAAUCCCAGGGCUCAACCCUGGAACUGCCUUUAAUACUGGCGAUCUAGAGUCCGAGAGAGGUGAGUGGAAUUCCGAGUGUAGAGGUGAAAUUCGUAGAUAUUCGGAGGAACACCAGUGGCGAAGGCGGCUCACUGGCUCGGUACUGACGCUGAGGUGCGAAAGCGUGGGGAGCAAACA
rnacentral:rRNA from 2 species